rnacentral:rRNA from 1 species
UACAGAGGGUGCGAGCGUUGUUCGGAAUUACUGGGCGUAAAGGGCGCGUAGGCGGGAUGGCAAGUCGGUCGUGAAAUCCUUCGGCUCAACCGAAGAACGUCGAUCGAUACUGCUGUUCUUGAGGGUUGCAGAGGAGACUGGAAUUCCCGGUGUAGCGGUGAAAUGUGUAGAGAUCGGGAGGAACACCGGUGGCGAAGGCGGGUCUCUGGGCCGAUACUGACGCUGAGGAGCGAAAGCGUGGGGAGCAAACAGG